rfam:Ornithorhynchus anatinus chromosome X1, whole genome shotgun sequence.
CCCCUCUCAGGAUCUCACCUAUAGAGUUUCCAGUAUUCUUCCAGUUUUGGCUACAGGAGGGAGAGUCAAGCAGAGGUAUACUCAUUCCACUCCUAGCUUGAGCAGUGGCUGUUGAGUGGAAGGCGAUCUGCUACAAGU